AGGGAGAGUACAGUGUUGAGAGAAGAGUUUUGUUAGGUAGUGGGGAGAGUGAUGGAAGCAGAAGAAGAAGAAGAUGAAGAAGAACAUCAACAAGAGGAACAUCUUGUGGUGGCCACGAACCUCUUCCUUCUAACCCUCCCUCCUGUCUCCGACAUCGACAAGGUUCGCCUCAAACGCCACGAUAUGCUUCCUUUCUACGAAACCCUAAUUGCGGGUUCCGUCUUCGACCCUGAUCGCGCUCUUCUCGAUUCCUUGCGUAAUGAAAAAGUAGGCAGAUCAUCCUUCCAAAUUCCGAAACAUAAAAAAUUUAGAUGCAGUAAGGAACAUGAAAAGGCCUGAUGGAUCAUAUUCAACACGGAUUACUGAUGCCGAGGAAAGUUUAGGUGAGAGUGAAGUUCGAGAGGCUCAUUUGGCAAAGUCCCUGUUUUUUUAUCUGGAUUGGUGACAAGAGAAAGCCUUGGAACAUCUCAAGGUGACAGAAGCAAGACAGUUGCAGUUGGCCAGAAAAUGGACAUGGUGUUUUAUACAUUGCAGCUUGGUUUUUUUUACAUGGAUUUUGAUCUCAUUGCAAAAAGCAUUGAGAAGGCUAAAAGAAGGUGGUGAUUGGGAGAGAAAGAAUCGGCUGAAAGUAUUCAAGGGCCUGUAUUGUAUGUCAACUUGAAAUUUCAAGAAGGCUGCCAAUCUGUUCUUGGAUUCUAUUUCAACCUUUACACCUAUGAACUUUUCCCCUAUGACACCUUUAUAUUUUACACUGUUCUGAUAAGCAUUAUAUCAUUGGAUAGAGUUUCUAAGCAAAAGUGAUUGACAAAAUCCCAUAUCUUUCAGACUUUCUGAAUUCCUUAUAUGAUUGUCAAUACCAGUCUUUCUUCAAGCAUUUGCUGGUUUAACGGAGAAAAUCAUGUUGGACCGUUACUUGCAUCCUCAUUUCCGAUAUUACAUGAGGGAGGUGAGGACUGUUGUCUAUUCCCAGUUUUUGGAAUUUACAAGAGUGUGACAAUUGAUGCUAUGGCAAAAGCCUUUGGAUUGACGGUGGAUUUCAUUGAUUUGGAAGGUAUCACGUUUUAUUGCAUCUGGGGGACUACAUUGCAAGAUUGAUAAAGUUGCAAGGAGUCUUCCUAUUGAACCGUAUCCAGAAAUUAUCACGCGUGAUUGAUCUUUGAAAAGUUAUUUAUUGAGAUUCUAAAUUACAACAGUUUUCAUUGAACAGAGGUAAGGGGCGAGGCAGAAAGACUGGUAAUUUUUUUAUCUAUCAAAAAGAUUACACGGAUACGAUGAGCAUCGAAACUAGGUUUGCGAUAAUAAGGAGUUUACAAAAAAAAUUUCUUCUCACCCUUCAGCAACAUUUUUUUUUUAAUGUGUGGGAAUUGGAUAUGAUAUUAAGGAGUUUACAAUAUUAUUGUUCAA